AGAGUUUUUCCUGUUCAUCGAAGGCGUCACAAUCCAUACAAUGCGUGAGGUUCCAACCAGAAACAACAUUCAAACACAGAUUACAUAAGGAAGGUAUCGCAUACAUAAAUACUAUGCUAUUACAAGCAUUCACCAUAUUCAAUUUACAUAUUACAUUUUUUAUUAUUGCUUCCAAUAUACAAUCAAGUUAUUACAAUUUUACUACAACUUUGUUCUUUUCAUUUCUAUACCCCUAGCUA
rnacentral:lncRNA from 1 species